AACGAACGCUGGCGGCGUGCUUAACACAUGCAAGUCGAACGCGAAAGGGACUUCGGUCCUGAGUAAAGUGGCGCACGGGUGAGUAACGCGUAGAUAACCUGUCUUUAUGUCUGGAAUAAUACGCCGAAAGGGGUACUAAUACCGGAUACUCUUGCUUUAUAUAAGUUUUGCAAGCAAAGGUGGCCUCUGACAUAAGCUACUGCAUAAAGAGGGGUCUGCGUACCAUUAGCUUGUAGGUGGGGUAAUGGCCUACCUAGGCAACGAUGGUUAGCGGGUCUGAGAGGAUGAUCCGCCACACUGGCACUGGAACACGGGCCAGACUCCUACGGGAGGCAGCAGUGAGGAAUAUUGCGCAAUGGGGGCAACCCUGACGCAGCGACGCCGCGUGAGUGAGGAAGGCCUUCGGGUCGUAAAGCUCUGUCAAAGGGAAAGAAAUGUAUAAUGGCUAAUACCUGUUAUAUUUGACGGUACCCUUAAAGGAAGCACCGGCUAACUCCGUGCCAGCAGCCGCGGUAAUACGGAGGGUGCAAGCGUUGUUCGGAAUUACUGGGCGUAAAGGGCGCGUAGCGGUUUGAUAAGUCAGAUGUGAAAGCCCACGGCUUACUGUGGAAGUGCAUUUGAUACUGUCA
rnacentral:rRNA from 1 species